AAGACGGACGCCAUUGAAGUUCAGCAUGGAAUAGUAAAAGGGUUGGCAAAAUGCUCAUCAAGGUCCAGUACCGUGGACUAAAAAAGUACCUCAAACUGCAGCCUGGUUUUUCUUAUGAAAGUUUCAUUGAAGAAGAAUUUGUGCCAGCAGGUUCUUCUACUCUAAAUUCUUCACUUUUCUGAAGUGAUAUGGAGAGGUCCUCUUCAAACAAAG